AUACUCACUUCAGCAGCACAUAUACUAAAAUUGGAAUGAUAGAGAGAAGAUUAGCAUGGCCCCUGUGCAAGGAUGACAUGCAAAUUUGUGAAGCGUUCCAUAUUAAA
rnacentral:snRNA from 1 species